GAUUCCUCUCGCUGCCAGUUAAUGAAUGGACCAAAUGCCUCUUUGCUGAGAAUGUGGAUUUAGACAUCUCUUCCACGGGUGUGUCUCAGUGGCUUACACACGGCAUGAAGAUCCUCAGUAAGGUAAAAAUAUUCUGCGGUAUUUAUACACACGUUCGAAGUUAUGGUAUCGUUUCCUGACCGUUAACAUUGUGUUGUUUCCCACAGCAUGUGAAGGGCUCCAGAUAGGAAUAGCUGCGCGGUCACCGUUAUGGUGCGUUGGUCUGUUUGACAGCAAGUAAACAACGAGUCCCGACAAAGUACCUCUCCCGCUGAAAACUCAAUUACACUGUUCCUUGUUAGAAUUUCGGAAGCAUCCCAUUGCUACGGAACCCACCGGGAGUCAUGCUUCGGGAAUAGAUGCAGUUGAACGGGGGGAUCUGCAACCAUAGCACGGAUUCAGCGCGUCUGGUCUUGACUCUCUGGAUCUGUCGAUCGGUUGGCUGACUAUUCAGCAUCGCACCUAACAAAAAGGGUUCGUCCGUGAUCUCAGUGGAACAAUGAUAAAAUGUAUGGGGCACUCACCACUUCCGGCUGAAUCUGCUUUUUUAACUCGUUGAUAUCGAAGACAUCUGUUCUGCGUUCGUUGGGAUAUUUCAUCAUGUCGAGAACGUCUCUGUUUGGUUCACUGAAAAAUCUAAUUGAUCUGGCCCUCUCUUUCUUGCCAGGCGAUAACAACUCAUCCCAGGCAUUGUCGCCUGACGGGCAGGUGCUGUGAGCUUCGUAAGCAGUCACUUUGGCAGUUUCUUCAGCGUGGAUGUCCUCGAACAAUCUGGUCGAAACCGGGGGAGCUUCUGCCGUGGCGGUUUUUGG
rnacentral:lncRNA from 1 species